CCUACGGGAGGCAGCAGUGGGGAGUAUUUGGCAAUGGGGGAAACCCUGACCGAGCAACGCCGCGUGUGUGAUGGAGGCCUUCGGGUCGUAAAACACUGUGAUUGACUGGGAAACUCAGGAGGAGUGGAAAGCCUUCUGACUGACCGGUCUAUUAGAAAGCAACUGCUAACUACGUGCCAGCAGCCGCGGUAAUA
rnacentral:rRNA from 1 species